UCUAACAACAAAAACAUAAUAUUAACUAACAUUUAUUACAAAUUACAAUGUUAUUAGUGUAGGUACUAAGGAUAUUACCAUACAAGUAUUAGUAUUAUUGAUACAACAGAUGUUACACCGUUAUUACCAUAAUACUAUGAUAGGUAGGCGUAUGUCAUUUUUUAAAACGCACUUACUUUAUCAAGGUUCCAAAAGAUAAUUUGUAAUAUAUUUAGAUAUAAGACGUACAUACUUCUAAACUACAGUAUGGUUUUAAACACAAUCGGACGCAAACGAUUGAUCAAAAAUAAAAGUGCUCGACAGCGCAGUGUAGCCGGUGACGAUCAUGUAUGGGUAGGACGUAUUCUAUUAUACAACUGACUGACUAUGUGACCAUAUUGACCAAAUAUGACAAAAGAUAUUUCGAUUUUCAGCAGCAGGCUCGCAAGUAUUCAGUAUACAACAUAUACCGCGGUGGCCAAGUUUAUACCACGGUCUAGGCGACAGACUUGAUACCACAGUCGAUUCGACCUUAUGCGAUAACUGCCAGCGGGUAACUGAGAUAUUUUUGGUUGGCCCGACAAACAUAUAUCUAUACUCUAUAGGUAUUGUUAUUUUAGUUUUGUACUUAUCUAUGGUCUGUCUUAAAGAAAUCGUUGGCCGCUGAUGGCUUAUCCACCGAUCAUCGGAUGCGACGAUACUCGACGAUUUUCCUUCAAACCCUUUUCUCAUCACCUUUCAAUAAUUCGAAAAAUGUUGUAUACAGUGUGACGAAAUGUGGAUUGUUUUUGAAUGUAGAAAGUAUGAAUAUAUUUGAGAGCGUCAUCACUUAUCAUCAGACGAAACGCGUCACCUGUUUCUAUCAAGUCAAAAGUGAUGGGUUAAUGUAAAACGACUAUGUAUAUACUUCAAAAGGCUGUUUCAAAGACAUUACUUGUAUCGGGAUGCAUCUAAGGUUUAUAACUUAUUAAAGUUACACUUAAAUACCAGCUGUGUGCAGUGAGCAUAUUAUUAUAAUAUUUUAGGUGAGUGAAAUUCGAAUAAUUCUUGUGCUUCAGAGUUAAUUAAAUAAAAUAAAUAAAAGGGUAAUAUUUUUAUUAAAAAUAGAAACCAUCAUCUAAACUUUCAAUUCGAACUAACGUCUUAAACUUCAAUAAUAUACUAAAUAAUACUAAAUCCAUACAGAUAAACUAAAUAUCUACAGAAAGAACAUUCGCUAAAAGUUUUAUCUGGUCCCCACAUUUACACAAAAGGAGAAUCUUACGUACUUACUUAUGAAACAACAGAAAAACACUUGCUGCAUAACCUAUUAUCUAAAUCAUCUAAACUCACCAUGCGUUCUUGAUAAAUAUUUACUUCAUCUUAAGCCCAUAUGGCAUAUCUAUGACUCUGCCAAAAAAUGUACUGUAAACAAAUAUCCAAACAUUCCAAUAAAAACCCUUUGUUUAACUAAAAACGCAUUGUUAUAUACCAUAAACCUUACUACACUACUACCUAUGCAAUUUUAUCUGCGCAUAAUAUGUUAACUGUUGAAGACACUAUAUAACCUAACCUAACAUAACCACUCCAAAUAAAUCGACAAAAUAUGCUUAUAGCUAAUAGGUAUGUAAGGUGCAAUAAAUAUGCUUAAAAUCUACCCCCUGCUCAAAUCAGUGUGGCGCCAUGAAUUAUUAGUACAUACAAUCGUAACGAUUUAAGUGUAACUAUGGUGAGUAAAAAUUACAUUUAAAUUAAAUUAAAUCCAUUACAUGGACAAAUUUAACAACUAACAAAAAAUGAAACUAAUUGUACAUAAAAAUAAUGUAUGUAUUAUAUCGAGUGCGGAUCCAAUCGGAUCUGGAAACAAACCCGCUUGUUCAACAAAAAAACAUAACAUCGUUAAUUAGUAAAAAUUAGCAUGGUUCAAAUAUUUUUAAUUUGAGUGCCCUCUCCGUGCACAGUUCUGGUUCCACCCUUGGAUCACAUAUUAGUACAAUUAAAAAAAAAAAAUAGUUUAAUAUGAAAGUCUAAAAUACCUACUUAAGUCUUUAUUAUAAUGCUAAUUUAAUGCUUAAAAUCUAGAAUAUAUUAGGUAUAUACACUGUACAUUACCUAUACAGACAUCUAUAAAAUUGUAAAUAUCACAAUUUGAAUAGAUUUAUAAUUGAAGCGUAAAAAUUGACUGAGCGUACUUAAUACAGAAUUAAAAAAAUAUGUUGUUGCAUUGAUGUCGUACCUACCUACUUCAAAAGCUUAUCAAAUGGUGCAUCAACAAAAUCACUGUACAUUUAACUUCACUUGAUCCCCAAUAAUUAUUAAUUAUAAUAAACGUUUUAAUAUAAUAUCCAGGUCUAAAAUAUCUAGCCAAUAAACCACAAUAAUUCUUCUGGGCGCCAAUACAAAUUGAUGAGUUAUUAAUGUAAGUAUUUAAAAUGAUAAAAGUGAUAUAAUAAAAAAAAAUAAUCAAACUGUAUACAAAUCGUAUUAUACUAUAUUAAAUAUUGUACCCACCUAACAAAAUAUGAAAUCUAUAGAUCGUAAUGUUGUUUGUUGCAUGUCAAAAAAGAAAAGGGCAGCAGGUAAACGCCUAGCUACAGAACUGCAGUAGAACUCGAGUGUACAUAGCCAUUGAGUAGGUCAGUGUAAUGGAUGUGUUAAAUUUCAAUUCAACGACAAAUCAUUGUAAUUGAUAAAAACGAUUCUGAGCGAAUAUGGUACUUCAUAACAUUUUGGUAUAACGAAGGUCAUUUCUGAAUAUUUUGAGAAGAACUGGGAAUUUUUCACUUUUGAUCCUACUAGAUCCAAUGUGCUAAGUAAAACCACCCUAAAUGUUCAAAAUUUAAGCAUUUUUUCUAAUAUGGAAAUAAAAAACUUUCAUUAUUGCUUAAAGUCAAUAAGUACAAUCUCUCCGUUUCAGAAUCAAAAAUAUAUAACAAUUUAUAAGCAUUUAUAUUUAUGUGUUAUAAGGUAAAUUAUAUUUAUGGGUGCCUAAUUGAUAAUAAAUAACGUUCUUAUUUUUCAAAAACAUUCAUAAUAUUCGCGUUAAAAUCCGUGGCAACAAGGCGCCGGGCAACAAUACCCAACCUCUGAAAUGCUACGCUAUAAUAUGUUACGUCUUAUAAGUUUAACUAAAUGUCCAAUCAUGCCCAAUAGGUACAUAAUAGUAUUGUGUAGUUGAUUUUCAAUUCCCAUUUUAUAUUGUAACUACAGACUUAUUAUCAUGUAUAUUAUUUAAGUGUUUAAGUAUAUUGACGAUGGCGUCAGUUCUAUUACAAAAACAUUUGUUGUUCAACCUGUAAAAGGACGCAUGUAAGGAAAAAUAACAUUUUGCACGAUAAAUACAUUAUAUUAUAAAAUCAAUUAUGUAUAAGGAAACGUAUAAAAUUUAGCUAUAAAUUUAAAUAAUUAUAUCUAUGUAUGUACCUAUUUAUAUAUUAUGUUAAUGUGGUUAAAACCACGAAAAUGUUAUGACUAGAGAUCAACAAAAAAAAAAAUUAAUAAAAAUAAUAAAUAAAAUAAAAAGGAAGUCUUUGUUCAUAUCAGAUUAAAAUAUCGUUCUUAAUACUGACCAUUUAUAAUUAUUACAAAUAAUAUGCCUUUUCUUUAUUGUGGUAUAGGCACAUGCACACAUACUAUUUAAUAACAUGGAAAAUGUACAAAAAUUAAAAUAAAUUGAACACACAUAGACCGACUUUAAAUGACUUAAUUAUAUGCAAUUGAAACUCGUCAAAACUAUAGUUAGGUACUUAGUUAAUACACUUAAUAAUUAUAGUUAUUAGGGACAAAUUUAUCUUAAUCUACGAUUAUCUUUAAUUUAAAUUUUCAUACCAUAUUAUAUUGUACUAAAAAACGGUAUUCUAAUUCCGAGGAUAAAUAUGUUCAUGGUGCAUACAGUUUUAAAAAUUAUAUAUAAUCAGAUAAAAUUGACUUAAAAAAUGUCAAACGGAAAAACAUUCCGACCAUUUUGAAGCGGCAUUGUAUUUUGUAUAAUUGUAUAAAUAACAGGCUGG